rnacentral:rRNA from 1 species
CGCAAGGGGAGCGGCAGACGGGUGAGUAACGCGUGGGAAUCUACCCAGCUCUACGGAAUAACUCAGGGAAACUUGUGCUAAUACCGUAUACGUCCGAUAGGAGAAAGGUUUAUCGGAGUUGGAUGAGCCCGCGUUGGAUUAGCUAGUUGGUGGGGUAAUGGCCUACCAAGGCGACGAUCCGUAGCUGGUCUGAGAGGAUGACCAGCCACACUGGGACUGAGACACGGCCCAGACUCCUACGGGAGGCAGCAGUGGGGAAUAUUGGACAAUGGGCGCAAGCCUGAUCCAGCCAUGCCGCGUGGGUGAAGAAGGCCUUAGGG